rnacentral:rRNA from 1 species
AAAGCUCAAAUUUGAAAUCUAGUACCUCCGGUGCUCGAGUUGUAAUUUGAAGAUAGUUUUCUGGUACUGGCCCUUGUCUAUGUUCCUUGGAACAGGACGUUGUAAUUUGAAGAUAGUUUUCUGGUACUGGCCCUUGUCUAUGUUCCUUGGAACAGGACGGAGUCGAGUUGUUUGGGAAUGCAGCUCUAAGUGGGUGGUAAAUUCCAUCUAAAGCUAAAUACUGGCGAGAGACCGAUAGCGAACAAGUACAGUGAUGGAAAGAUGAAAAGAACUUUGAAAAGAGAGUGAAAAAGUACGUGAAAUUGUUGAAAGGGAAGGGUAUUGGAUCAGACUUGGUGUUUUGUGAUUAUCUUCCCUUCUUGGGUUGUGCACUCGCAUUUCACUGGGCCAGCAUCGGUUCGGAUGGCAAGAUAAUGGCUUGGGAACGUGGCACUCUUCGGAGUGUGUUAUAUCCCUUGUUGAUGUUGCCUAUCUGGACCGAGGACUGCGGGCUUCUGCCCUGCAUGAGCACGGAAUCGUUCGAUACA